rnacentral:misc_RNA from 1 species
GGAGGUAAAGGUCGUAACAAGGUCUCCGUAGGUGAACCUGCGGAGGGAUCAUUACAGAGUUCUCGCCCUUACGGGUAGAUCUCCCAUCCACUGUUAUCGUUACUGUCGUUUCUUUGGCGGGCCGCCGGGUCCCCGGCCGCCGGCGCCUAGCUGCCGGCGCGCGCCCGCCAGAGGCCUUCAAACUCUGAAUGUUAGUGUCGUCUGAGUACUAUAUAAUAGUUAAAACUUUCAACAACGGAUCUCUUGGUUCUG